rnacentral:rRNA from 1 species
CAACAGCAUCCAAACUUCUGAAAACAAACCAAAUCAUUUACAACUUUUAACAAUGGAUCUCUUGGUUCUGGCAUCGAUGAAGAACGCAGCGAAAUGCGAUAAGUAGUGUGAAUUGCAGAAUUCAGUGAAUCAUCGAAUCUUUGAACGCACAUUGCGCCCCAUGGUAUUCCGUGGGGCAUGCCUGUUCGAGCGUCAUU